CUACACAGCCAUGGCACCCUGAACAAGCCUGAUCCUGUCUGAUCUCAGAAGCUAAGUAGCGUCGGGCCUGGUUAGUACUUGGAUGGGAGACCACCUAAGAAGACCAGGUGCUAUAGG
rnacentral:rRNA from 1 species